AAUCUAGGCCAUUCAAUUGGCCAGAAACGAAAACUACCUAACAGAAGACAAAAUACUUGAAAAACAACAACCAUAACCUUAUUCACCCCAUUUGUUCAUUGCCGAAAAGAAAAAUCAGCAAAUCCUUUCAAUGGAACCUGAAAUCUUCCAUAGAAGCAUAAACAUUUCAUAGUUUAAGAGGACAACCACUAUGCAUGGAAUGAAGCUUCAAGAUUUUGAGAGAAUUCGUUCAUCAAGAAUUGACUUACUCUCAACUUCAGUUUGGUGGGUCAACCCAUUAACGGUUUGCUUCCACAAACAGCGUCACACUCCCUAUAACUUCCAGCAUUCAGGUUCACCGGAACAGACCACCUUCCCAAUUGAAACGAUGAAGAGCCGGAAUUUGUAGCACUCAACGUGUCCAGUUCAAGGAUGUAAGCUUGAACAAAGCCCAUAUUAUCACGAGAACAUCCCAAACUCCCUUUGUGAAGGCACAAUCUCUAACAACAUGGGUAGUAAUCUCUGGUAUGGAGUUACAUCAUGGGCAAAUGACAUUAGUAGCAACUAUUUUUUUAUGUAAAGAUUGUGAAGAGUAGGUAAAUAAUUGUUAAAAAAGUCUCCGUGUUGUAAUUUUAAUCUUUGAUGGCGCUAUAAUUUACCAUAGUCUUACGUAGAAAUUCCUAGUCACGUGGCUUAAAUUAUUUUGGCUAUUAGUAUUAGGAGAUUAGUCUUCAAUAAGUAGAGUUAUGUAGCCAUUUCUAAUAGAAUACUACUCUCUAUUAUCUCUCUGCCAAACCAAUGUAUUUAUUCACCUGAUAAGUCUCAAAACAGAAACACAAAUAAUGCAGCUA